rnacentral:rRNA from 1 species
UUUUUAUGAGAGUUUGAUCCUGGCUCAGGACGAACGCUGGCGGCGUGCCUAAUACAUGCAAGUCGAACGCUUCUUUUUCCACCGGAGCUUGCUCCACCGGAAAAAGAGAGUGGCGAACGGGUGAGUAACACGUGGGUAACCUGCCCAUCAGAAGGGGAUAACACUUGGAAACAGGUGCUAAUACCGUAUAACAAUCGAAACCGCAUGGUUUUGAUUUGAAAGGCGCUUUCGGGUGUCGCUGAUGGAUGGACCCGCGGUGCAUUAGCUAGUUGGUGAGGUAACGGCUCACCAAGGCCACGAUGCAUAGCCGACCUGAGAGGGUGAUCGGCCACAUUGGGACUGAGACACGGCCCAAACUCCUACGGGAGGCAGCAGUAGGGAAUCUUCGGCAAUGGACGAAAGUCUGACCGAGCAACGCCGCGUGAGUGAAGAAGGUUUUCGGAUCGUAAAACUCUGUUGUUAGAGAAGAACAAGGAUGAGAGUAACUGUUCAUCCCUUGACGGUAUCUAACCAGAAAGCCACGGCUAACUACGUGCCAGCAGCCGCGGUAAUACGUAGGUGGCAAGCGUUGUCCGGAUUUAUUGGGCGUAAAGCGAGCGCAGGCGGUUUCUUAAGUCUGAUGUGAAAGCCCCCGGCUCAACCGGGGAGGGUCAUUGGAAACUGGGAGACUUGAGUGCAGAAGAGGAGAGUGGAAUUCCAUGUGUAGCGGUGAAAUGCGUAGAUAUAUGGAGGAACACCAGUGGCGAAGGCGGCUCUCUGGUCUGUAACUGACGCUGAGGCUCGAAAGCGUGGGGAGCAAACAGGAUUAGAUACCCUGGUAGUCCACGCCGUAAACGAUGAGUGCUAAGUGUUGGAGGGUUUCCGCCCUUCAGUGCUGCAGCUAACGCAUUAAGCACUCCGCCUGGGGAGUACGACCGCAAGGUUGAAACUCAAAGGAAUUGACGGGGGCCCGCACAAGCGGUGGAGCAUGUGGUUUAAUUCGAAGCAACGCGAAGAACCUUACCAGGUCUUGACAUCCUUUGACCACUCUAGAGAUAGAGCUUCCCCUUCGGGGGCAAAGUGACAGGUGGUGCAUGGUUGUCGUCAGCUCGUGUCGUGAGAUGUUGGGUUAAGUCCCGCAACGAGCGCAACCCUUAUUGUUAGUUGCCAUCAUUCAGUUGGGCACUCUAGCAAGACUGCCGGUGACAAACCGGAGGAAGGUGGGGAUGACGUCAAAUCAUCAUGCCCCUUAUGACCUGGGCUACACACGUGCUACAAUGGGAAGUACAACGAGUCGCGAAGUCGCGAGGCUAAGCUAAUCUCUUAAAGCUUCUCUCAGUUCGGAUUGCAGGCUGCAACUCGCCUGCAUGAAGCCGGAAUCGCUAGUAAUCGCGGAUCAGCACGCCGCGGUGAAUACGUUCCCGGGCCUUGUACACACCGCCCGUCACACCACGAGAGUUUGUAACACCCGAAGUCGGUGAGGUAACCUUUUGGAGCCAGCCGCCUAAGGUGGGAUAGAUGAUUGGGGUGAAGUCGUAACAAGGUAGCCGUAUCGGAAGGUGCGGCUGGAUCACCUCCUUUCUAAGGAA